rnacentral:lncRNA from 1 species
GCAUGUUAACAGUGCACAGCUCAGGUGUGAGUGAGUAGGACAGUAGCAUGGCUCUGUAGUAGAAGAGUAGAAGACUUUUGAUUAACUUAUACCCCAUGCAAGGCAAGAAUGGACAACAAGAGGUCUUCUGUUUUUCCAAAUGUUUUACAGUGUUGUUCAAAGAAGAGGUGAACAUUUCCCCUUCUCUGGUUUUUUAAAAAUCAUGUUAUUGCCAUCAAUGUUAAAACAAACCUACUUUUAAAUAGUUUACAAAGCAUCAAAACCUACUUUAACCAUCUUUUUGUUCAGCGUCUAAACCUUUUAUUUAAAUCAAGGCUAUAGAAACAAAUGUUGUCCAUUUCAAUACGACAGAUAAGGUGUGUUUAAACGGUAAAAUCUUUAGCCUGUGCAGCUUAAACACCUCCCUAAUUUGCCUUCACUUUUGUUUUAAAGCCUCGUCACGACUUCCCAUCUGUUUUAUGACUUAUUAGCAGAGAGCCAUGAGCCUUUCAGGGCCAGAACACCCAGAACUGAGUGAUUUGUUUAACUUUCUCUGAUCAGAAGAGAGGGUCACAUGCCGGCGAUUCUUUGCUCAGCACACAAAGAUGCACAGAUUGAAACUGUAAGCAUCUGCCACACGACUGGAUCCAGCAGGUGUUUAACUACAUCAGACAGAAAGCUCAAACAUCUCAUGGAUCUCUGAUCUUUCAUUGUUCUUCAUGUGUGUUUAAUUUUUUCUCCCCCUGAACUCUGUCCAAAGCUGUCAGCUCGCCAAACUGGUGAGUCAAAAUCCAGCUAGUCCAAUUUUGGCCUCAAUGUCUGGGAUUUAAGAUGAAGCUAAGCUUGGCUACCUCUAAUGGAUUAAAUUGAUCCCUUUUUUAAGUCAUUUUCUUUCAUUUCUUUUCUAAUUGUCUACAGGUUGUACCAGAAGUCUGGGAAAAACAGGGAGGAGGCACCAGAAUUUGGUUUUGAUAAUCUCUAUGGUCUUUUAACUGAGCUUAACUGGUCCCCUAAGAACAAUUACAGAUGAACAUCAACCAAUAUAAACUUCUGUCAUAACAUCCAACACGAUUACAAAUUAUGAGUGAGCUCUUUCCCAUGAUUGCGAAAUCAGACAUGGUCAAAAUCAGCCUGUUCUUUGGCUGACUCUGCCCGCCAUGCUGGACAUUCCCACAAUCCUCAAGUGUGGCUCUUCCCUGAAGCUGUUGUGACCUGAUCGAGCUGAUAACCGAGGCAGGGGGUCGUGCUGUUGUCCUGAUGUAGUGUGUUGUAUGCUAUUAGUACCUCCACAGGGGCAGCUGCUUCUGUCAGAGGGUUCAGAUCCGCUGCCCGAGGCCCGGUGCGCACAGAGAUACAAGCACUCAGUGUUUUUGAAGCAAAUUUACGGGUCCUAAUUGCACGCUCCAAAUGAAGCCUCAUAAAUCAGACUGCAGGUAGAGUGAAACAGUGUCAGUCUGGCUGAAUAAUUUAGAGGACUGCAGUCUGAGUUACAUCCGUAGAUGACGAACGUUGGUGUAAUGCUGAAGUUUGUUUAUUUUUCUAAGCAGUACUGCAUUAUAAUUUCAUCAUGUUAUUGCAUGUUGCCUCAGUGCUGACGGAAAAAUAGGAUCUGCUUUUUGUAAAUUAGAAAGCUGUCUGCAUACCAAGCUAAACUACAGAUGAGAGCAUCAUGUGCCUCACUGCACGUACUCAAAAUGUAAUGCAGUCAGAGAAUAUAUAGCACUUCUUUAACAUUCCCAUCAAAAAUCAACCUGAAUCAUCAAUAAGAAAAAAAAAAAAAAAACUCAGCGUAAAGUUGUAGUCCUAGAGGCGGGGUUUUUGAAAAUUAGAUUGUAUUGUUAAACCUACCUUGGUGUUAAAUCGUGUCUGUCCAAAACAGACUUUGUUCUACCUGGAUGGCUUAACUUCCUGAAGCACUUCUAGAUCAAGAUCUGCAGAGCAAAUCUCUAAUGAGCUUUGCCGAAUACCUCAAAUGAAAUUAAAAUUUAAGGUUGUUUUUUAGAUGUCACAAAAAUACGUUUUUUUUUUUAAAUAGAAAAACUUCACCUCACACUUGAGUCCCAAUUACCAAUGCAACAUUUGAUUGACUUGUUCCAGCACCGGUAGCACCAGCACCAUCAGACUGAGACAGCAUUGUUUGAGUUUGUAUCUGAUAUCAGCUCUUACGGUGUCAGUUUUUAACUCAGGGAUACUUAGUGUGACAGUAAGUUCAACUGAGUCCAUCAUGAACAAGACGUCUACUAUGUUAGAAGUCCCCUGAAAGUUUCUUGGAACCAUUUCCUCCUAAUCUGUCUGUAUUUAAGGAAAUUAUAUUUGUAUAUCUUAUCCUUUCUGAUGUAUUUCGCCCAGGGGGACAGCAUGUGUUACAGAGUGAAAAAUGUGUUGUUUCUAACGCUGGUCCCGUGUGUUGACUUUAAAUGGAAGCAAAAUGAUUUGCUUCUACAGACAAAGCCAACUUUUCCCCAUUUUUUUCUGCUGAGGACCAGUUAAUAUCCUGAAGGAGCGGUGCCACUUCAUCAAACUGUGGUAUUUCCUCUCCGGUUUGUCAAAGUCAAACGCCUGGCGUUUUUUGUUUUCUUUCAGCCUUGGCUUUUUCUUUUCUCUGUGAGAAGUGUUUACUUUGCUCCAAGUGCUAAAUGAGAGAUGUCAGUCCAGUACAGAGGAGCUUGAGCUGGAAUCUUCUCAACCUUGCAAUGUGAAGUAUUUAUGUUCAAAUGUAUCAUUACUGCAGAUAAGUAAAGUUUUUACAUAUCUGUACUUCAGUAUUCAUUUUUGGACAGCUUUUUUUCUUUCGAUUUGGCCCUACUGUGCAAAGUGUUGAGUCAUGCAGCACAAGUGUCAUUGUUAUUUUCCACCCUUAUCACUUGUCAAACUUAUGCCCGGCUCUAACUCUGAGUAAAUAGCAAGUGAACUUGUGCCCACCUCUGCCUAACAUGGUAUGUUGUACUUUAAAAGAGGUGUGGUCGGGCUAAAAGGUGGCAUGUUUGCAACCACAAGGAAGUAGAAAAGUGCCUGGGCAGACAGAAGACAAGUCUGGUCUUAAGUCUAAAGCUUGUGGUGCAGCAUUUCCUGAUAUUUAGAUGGUGCAUUAGUGAAAUGGUAAGGUGGAUUUACAAUCUGUGAGCAUUCCCGUUGACAUAUGAUGUCUUGUCAGGUGAGUGUGUCUUAUAGUAAUUGUGAAAUGUCUUCUUUUUUUGUCUUUUUCCUUGAAUAAGACUAAAGUCUCUGCUUGUUUUUGAGUUCUUGCAGAGCGGGCUGCCAGGAGUCGCCUGAUGAAGACCUUUGUCCACUGCAGGACUUUGGUUUCAGGUCAGGCAGUGGACACAUGCUGCCAGGAGCUGAAUGGCACCCCACCCUCCUUCAUGGACACAAGGUCAGGGGGCAGCUACAUCAAUACAGCCUCCUGACCUCACUUCUUGACCCCCGGAGCGCCUCAUGUCUCCUCUGUCCCUCUGUGGCCACGAGACCGGGCAGAUCUGCGUAUGCGACAGGGGUCAUUUACAGAGAGACAGAUGAGCAGACAGACAGUGUGCAGACAUCUUCCACAGUUUGCAGCUUUGCUUCUUCUCAGUGGCUGUGACCCUCAGCAGGGUUUGGCUCAGCUCAGGCUGAUUCUGUCUUUGAAGCCUCGGGGGAGCGGGCUGUAAGUCAGGCUUUAUUGCAGGGAAAUGGAUGGGUCAGGUACCUGCUGUGGCCUGUCGUUAGCCUAAAGACAGUCUUAUCAGCUUAGACUCUAUCUGAGCCCUCAGCUACUGGGGAUUACAUUUGCAGCCACUCCUGUCUGCCUCUGUGCCCUCACCGCAGCGAAACGUCCCCUGCUGUUGAUGCAAAGAAGCAUCCCUACAAUGAACCCAAAUGAAGCAAAGUGAGGGAGCUGCAUGGGAUUAUCUAGUCCCAUUCAGAAGUAGUUUGUAAGCUCUCAACAUGACGUGCCCUCCCUGAAGUGUUUUUCACCCUGUUUUUUACAAGAAACAGAUAAGUACAGAAAAUGAGGCCUUCAUUUGAUGUUGUGUGAAAGUGGCUGAAACAGCACGCUAACUGCUUUCAUUGUGUCCUUUGAAGAUAAAUUAAGAAAGAAUCUGCAACACAUAUUGUUGGAGAUCUGAGACAAUAUCACUCACACAAUGAGUAUUACAAAAGAGCAUGGAGAAGUCCAACAAGCCUGCUGUGUCCUAUCCGAAUUCUUAGAUGAAACAGAAAAAUGAUUUUGUGAAACCAUGGAUGAAGACAAAACAUAGGAAUGUAGAAAACAAAAUUAAACUGUUAAGACAACAAAAACAGGGAAAUAUCUUCCAAGAUGUCUGCAAGUAUUGAGCUUUUAUAUUUUUAGAGUGCCGUUGAUAUCCCACAUCAACAAACAACAAAGAAAUGGAGAGGGUACCAACAGCUGGAAAACAUUUCAGCAAACUGCGGACAAUUGUUCGACAGCUCCAGAAACAUCUCAGAGAGUAACACUUUGUAAUUUGUGUUGAGUCCUCUCUCUGCUGUUUCAGAUUUAGAAAUGUUAGCAUACCAAAGGUGAUUGAUCACUUUUCCUCCUCCAUUAUUUUCUGUUUGAAAAAGAAAAAUACAGCUUGUUCAUUUUGUAUGUGCUAGCAACCAAGAGAUACCGCAAACAUUAGCAUGGUUCACAAGCAGGUAAUCAGAGAAAAUAUCCCGUUUAGCCUCCUCUACCCACAGUGAAAAGUCAUAAGGAUGCGGGGGGACACAGAUAUAUUUAUCUUGAUGAAUCAUAAAGAUCAGUGGAAAUCUUACAUAAAUGGCGGUUUUAAAACUUCAAUCACAGACAAGGUGAGCAAGAGGAUCUUGUCCUAUGUUACAUAGUGUCUCAAUGUGUGAAUGUUCUGUGUAUACAUGUUUUAUUCGUGUAAAUAACUCACUCUAUCUGAGUGCCAUGUUGUGUCCACGAGUGCUAAAAUAUGCAACAUUUAUUCAAACAAAGAGCUGUUUCCUUCACAUCAUUUCAGCCUGUUUUCAUUUAACAUGGUUAAGGUCGACUACUCUGCAAGAAUUUGUUCUGUUUUAACAGUUUACCAGAUAAUCCAACCUCCACACCCACUGUCGUCCCACCACGCUCCUUUUUAUUUCAGUUUAAAUGGAGAAAACCACCAGGGUUGUACAGCUCAGGGUAGCCAGACGCUGUCAUGGUUGGUUUUUCCUCCAUUUUCUAGAUGAUUGAACCUCCACAGGUCUGUAGUUGACAUACGUCAUUGAUGAGUCUCCAUGCUGAUUGGCCAUUACAGGUGAUCAGCAUAUAUAUUCACUAUAUAUUAUCUUGUUUUUUUACCCAGCUGCCUGUUUAAGACAAGAACAGGAAGUAGGCAAAAAAUGUAAUGCAAUUAUUUAAAAUAUGUAAGGAAAUAUGUGAGCGGGUGGAUAUGCAUGUUAUAAUCCUGACAGGGUGAGCAAGACCUGACACUCCACCUUGCUUUCUUGCCUGUGCCCAGGUACUUUCCUUCAGACAUUUUCACAAAUAGGCCUAGGAAUUCUUCAAGUUCUCCCGAUAAGAUUAAAAACAAAAACAGGAUUGAAAUAGGAUGUAUGGUUAAGUUGCAUCUGCUUCUGUCUCUACAGUGCUGAGAAUGCAGCCAUUUUUGGCUAGCUAACAUGAAGCAAAAAGUGAGUCAUAACAAACAUUUAGGGCUGUUUAGAAAACACUUAGCAACUUUAAGACCACAAAUGACCAGCAGAGGGCGGUGAUGAAUCUUGGCAGGGGAGCAGGACCAGCUAAUGUCCUAGCAAGGCCCACCCAUAACUCAUGAACACGGCUACGAGCGAGAUGGCAGAAGCUGACAGUGCCGGAAAAGCGUCACAGUUGCAGCUAAACUUCACGUUGUGGACUUUGUUGAGAGCAACGAAAGUCUUUUUGCAAGAAGACAGUUGAGAGUUUUUCCUACUUGAAGCCCCUCAUCAACUAUUGGUGGCUCAGAUGCCAGAGCAGCUUAUAUUAUUGACUUUUCUGCUAUUAAAUUUUUUUUUAAAAAGGUAUUCUGCAAAGUCUUUUUAGAUUAUAAGGGUAAAGAAACAAAGGGAACAGAAAGGACACAUAACAGCUAUUAACCUCAUUGAACUUCAUGUCGUCAUGUGUGUCUGCCUCAGACCAGCACACAGAUCUGUUCCACCGAGGACUGUACCUGCCUGAGGGAUCUUUGAUGUUUCAUAGGUAAGUGUGUUUUGGUUGGAUGAGGGGGCGUUUUGUCAAUCCUGGGGCUCCACCAGCCAGAUCGCUUUGCAUGCUUCAGCUGGUUCAAUAUGUUAGCACCCAUCGUGGUGGUAUUUUGGUUUUACAUCUCCCAACAGGAAGAGUUGGAAGCAUGGUGUCCAUCAUAAUUUAUGUUUUAUUUAACCUUUAUUUAACCAGGAACAAAACACAUUGAGGUCAAAAAUCUCUUUUACAAGUGUGUCCUGGCCAGGAUAGGGAGCAGAGUUAGCUGCCAAGACAUUUACAGACAAAUUUACAGUCAAUCAUAAUGUAGAAAGAUCAGGUAACAUAUACCUUAUACAGUCGAUGGUCCAUCCUCUUUUAUUAGAGGAUUCAGCCCUGCCUCCAUCCUCAGCCAGGGUCAGGGAAGAACUCUAAAUGUGAUGAUAUUUUUGCUUUAUGAAUAUCCAAUAGCAAGCUCAUAGCAGCCAAAUCUUGAAACCCAUUGGCUAUUGCUUAACGAUGAGUAUAUCAGGGUAACAGCCAACUUUAGGGGGGUCCAAUCUAAACAACAAUUAGCAAUAAAGGACUUCUGGGCCAGACUUCUGUUUCCGAGCAAUGGCUCGGGUUACAGUCAGAUAGAAACUUGAGAGCAGAGCUAUCGUUGUAAAAUAACAUUGAGAGAGGAUUAUUAUCCGCACGUGUGGGCAGAUCUUUGUUUAUAGAUAUUAAUAAGAGCUGAAUUGUUGUCAGAUGACUGACAGUGGAGGCCAGGAUUGAAUUAGAGCCAUCAGUGUUCUGUAGCUUUUUCUGUCCACAUGGACAGUUUUCUGCGUCCAGUAAUGAUGGAAGAUACUCCUCGUGGUAGAGUAGAUUACAGUUAGAUUAUAACCAGACACAGGCAGAAAAAAAACAAAAAAACUACAGUUACAUAUAUGACUGUCAAACGUUCACAGCUGGACGUUUUCAUCGGGGGGAAACUCUUAGGUGGACACUCAGCUUUCGUAUCAGGUCAAAUCUUAGGAUCUUAACCCAAAAUGGCUGCCAGCACAUGUUGUAAAUUCAGCGUUUCUGCGGCCUUGGUUCGGCUGUUCACACACAAAUUCUUUGAUUCUGACAUCUUCCUUCGGGCCUUAAAAAAAGCAACAAGUGAAUCUGUUAAUAAUUUACUGAAAGAAAAUAGACACUGGUAACGACAAUAAACCACUGUACUCAGAGGGGAAAAUCACGGGUGAGUAAAACUGUGGUGUCUGCUCUUUGAAGAAGGACAGAGUAUUAAAUAUCAAACAUGUUUGCCUUUGUAGACAUUAAACAGCUCCAAAAAUCCCAUGUGGUGAUCAUUUUUACCCAUUUCCACAAAACAAAGAGAUUGAACAGAUGCUCUUGUUAACGUCUUUGGUUUUAUCUAACCUGAUUUGUUUUCUGGAGCUGAACAUCUUGCGUGGUCAUGAUUCAAACGCAGAGACCACCAGCUCGUCUCUGACUUCCUGUUUUAAAAUGGACUCAUGGCCAGUUCUUCAAAAACUUAAGGGGCCUGUCUGUUGGAAGCUUUUUGCCUAUGACAUCCCUCUCUUGGUGUUUAGUCACCUUUUAUUUUGAGAGUGAUCACCAGUGUGUACUUCACUUAAUAUUAAAGAAAAAAAUAUCUCUGUGUCUUUAGUGUAAAACGUAAUUUUGUCUUUUAGUCACUUUUUUGUGCAGAUCACCAUAACAAAAUAUAUACAUUGUUUUGUUUUUUUCUGUAUAUUGUAAGGGGAAAAUCUCAAGCUACCCUGCAAUAUUUAACAGAUAAAUCAAACUGAGUAGAUUCGACUUAAUUCAAAUUAAUUCCAGCGGCAACAAUCAGGUAAUUAACACCCUAACUCUAACCCUAAUUUACAUGUCUACACAAACUGAUGAGAAUAUGUUCACUUUAUGAUAGAUUACUGUUGACUCAAAAUCACCAGUUUGCAUUAUGGUCAUUGUUUAGACAAACUCAUGAGCCAAAAGAAUCUGUACAUCCCUCAGUGGGUGGAUGCAGCCAAAAGAUGCAAAUUAAGAACAUAAUUCAAUAAAAGAGUCCAAAGAUAGGAUGUGAUUUUGGAUGAUUGGAUUUUUAGAAAAAGAAAAAAUAGGCUGAUUAAAAUGUACACAGUGUGUAUGGGAUUACAGACACAGCUUGUCAUCUGACCACUACUGAGCUUUUAAAUUAUCACCACCAAAGCAGAGCUACUGUGUUCAUUCUUAACUUAUCCUUCUUUUAGCAGUUUUAUCCCGGACAUAUGAAACUUUUUACAAAGAUAUACAGAGGAAACUGCAGAGAGAAAACACACUGCAGUUAAUAAAAAGUGACACAAAUCAAUUGAAGCGUUGUGAUUAAAUUAUUUCUCUUCGUUAUAGUUUUGUGUGUGUGCGUGCGUGUGUGUGUGUGUGUGUGUGUGUGUGUGUGUGUAAAUUUGUGAAUAAUUUGAGUUUUCAAAGCUUUAAAUCUCACAAUAAUUGUUAAGAAAAUGAUCUUCUGAGUGUAUUUAAUAGAUUUUGAUGGAGAAUGAUCCAUAAAAGAAUUUUUUGCUCAAUCAUUUAAAAUUAAAACAGUUUCUGGAGUUUGCGCUCAUUUACAGGCGAUUAAGCUGCCAGAUCUACUCAGAUCUUCCUGAAUCAAACCCUCACCCUGUCAGUGUUUUGAUGGAUAGCUGUUUAAACAAGAUCUUCCAUAAUUGCAGAAAACCAUCCCACAAAUGAGACACACUUCACACUCAUGCUGAGAUCCUGUAAUCUCAUUUGGUUGCAGUUCGCAUGUUAUAAACAGUCACCAUUUCAUUGUGCAACAAAAGAUUAGGGGGAGUUUUUUCGGAGCAUUUUCAGCUCAUCUCACUCUGAAAACAAACAGAGAAAAUGGCGUGCAAGUACAUUUUGGUCAAGCUGAAGGACACAGAUAUCUCUGUAUAAAUUUGUGGUCUAGGCUGCCUCAAACAAUCAAUCAUUCUCUCUCCUGGUUUGAUAGUCCUCACUUUAAAAAAACUGAGGGAGGAGUACAGAGAUCAUGAAAUAAACAAAGAAAUGUGCUAAAUGAGUCAAAAACCCAAAGCCUCUACACGUGAAAGUGUUCCCGAUGUUUUACCAUCUGCGUAGAUCAUGGGUGUAAAGAUUCACCAAAUGCUGGCUCCGAUUAAAGGCUAAGAGCCAUUGUCCUCGGCACUCUGGAUCAGUCAAAAUGUCUCAUGAAUCAGUUAACGGCCAAGUUUCAAUACUACGAUCCAGUUUACUUGUUUUCACUGUGACAGUUGUGUUUAUUGUGCUCAGCCUCUUCAAUUUCGUGAGAGUUGGAUGUUGUUCUUUUAACAUUUUGUAGAGAAAGGUUAACUAAGGUGGCUAGUCACGUAACGCCUGUUAGCUGGCCGUGAAAAAAAACAACAACUUGGAACUGGAGGGGAGGUUUACAAGCUCUAUUUUAGAAAUCAAAUCUUCUGACCUUGAUGUGGAGUGAAAUAGUUGGAAAGGCUCAGCUCUAAUUUCACCUAAUAGGACCUCAUGUUGAAACCUAGACUGGGAUGUUAGCAUUAGCAGUAGCAGCACAAGCAGCCCUCAAUACUGAACGCAUUUCAAGUGUUUACUUGGCACAGUCUGAAAUCACCGCACAGGCUUAACAUCUCAUCCAAAAAACAUAGCCUCUUAACAAAGCUCUUCACUGCCACCACUCAUGCUGGUUAAAACUGGAAUGUGAAGAGGGAACCAUAUGUUGACAUCAUGCUGGCAACUUCUUUGGACUUGAACCCAUCUAAGAUGGACUGAGGCAAAAAGGAAAACUGCACUGGGAUCUGGUGAUCAAAUUUUGCUUUUAAUUUGGAAAUCAUGGACACUGUGUCCUCUGCCCCAAAGAGGAGAGGAACUUCCUGGUUUUAAUGCUGCAAAGUUUGAAAGCUAACAUCCACUAUAAAGUGGUACCAAAUAAGUGUUGUGGCAUGGUUAGCUUACACAGCUGGGAGGUCACCAUGAAUGCUGAUGGUAAAUACAGUUUUGGGGCAACAUGAUGCCAUUGAGACAAUGCUUUUUACAGGGGGGACACUAUGCAGAACAAUAAGUCGAAGCACAUUCUUCUGAUAUUAAAAUAGCAUUACUCUUUAGCAGUAGACAGUCGGGGACAGUCCCCGUAUUAAUUGGCCUGUUUCCCAGCUAAAGCUGGCCCUGAAAAUGUCCCUGACUUAAGCAUUUCAUGAAUGAGAACAAAAAUGUUGCGUGUAGACCAGAACAACGGUUAUUACGGUAGCCGAGUAGGUAGGAAGCACGAGUAAGCAGGCAUACAACUCUACCGUUGGAAACUAAAUCUAAAACUAUAAGUGAUCAAGAGGUUAAGACAGGGAUGAUAUUGUUCAAGUGUUUCACCCUCUCACACCUGUGAAUGAAUCAUCCUUCCACACACACUCAUAAGACCAGAGGAGUGAUGGAGCCAUGCAGCUCUACCUUUAAAAGCUCUCACUGUGCUGCUGUGGAAGGACUGAGGCUGAGGACUAAAAUAAAAGUCAACUCUUUCUCCCCCUGACCGCCAGGGAAACCACAUGCCUUUUUGCACGCUGUAUAAAUGUUUUGACACAGGGAGGCCAACAGGCUUUCUACUCUCAUGCUUAUUAAAACCGUAAUCGCCCAUCACUAAAUGUGUACAGCGAUGAGCACCUUGAGGCGAAAAGGAUGGGAUUGUUUGUUUAUUUGACUGGGAGUGCUGAAUGUGCAGCGGAAAGCCCUGUCACAGCUCAGGCGCUAUUGAAAUGGAGGCUGGGAUUUGAAAAUAUACUGACCUCAUAUUUGACUUGUGCUGACCAUAAGCAGGCAUACAAAUCAUGGCCUGAACUGAGUCAACAAACGGAUAUCUGAGUUUAUUUGCGUCUCACUGUGCAGCGCUCUCAGGGCUGAUACCUUCACUACUUAGAGGAUUUAUUGACCUCACAUUCAUCACUUCUUCUUCUACAUCAUGACUGACACUUAGGCUGGAGGAAAGCUAUGAUAGAUGUAAUCAGGAGGUGAUUUAAAUGAGUGAAAUGUGGCCUGAACUCAGAUACAGUUUGCCCUCUAGAUGCUCUGAGGGUGACUGUUUGAUGUCGCACACGCCUUCUGUUUGCCUUGCAGGGUGGGAAAAACAAAACCAGAGCGGCCCGGCAUUGGUUUGGAUCAACAACACUGAGACGUUGUUACUGUCCAAAUUUCAUGGGCGCUUUUUGGUACUUAUUUUCAUAAGCAUACCUGUGAAAUCACAAGACUCUGUGUGAUCACAUGAACGUUUAUAAAAUGUAGUUAAGAAUCCAAAACAAGCAAAUCCUUCAUAACCACAUAAUGACCUUUAAACGGAGUGGUUUUACAUAUUUGAUCAAAUAUAUUUUUAAGCAAGCCGGCCCUUUGAAGAUUGAAGCAUAUAACACAGUUUUGAUUCAAGUAAGACAAAGUUUUGAUUAAACUUCUUUAUGUAUGAAAAAGUAAAAAAAGUACAGUCUUCAAAACGAUAUUUUUAUAAACUCAACCUCUUGUUUUUUAAUCACCAUGAGUCUGUCUUCACACUUUACAGUCACAGACAUAUCAAAAAAAAUUCUUUUUUAGGUAUAACUGUCCUUUCCAUUUAGGUAGAAAUCUGCAUUUGGCUGGUUACCCCCAAAUCCUGCCGUAUGCGGAACAGAACCCCGGGUAGCGGCCGCAAUUUUCACCGUCUGCCAAGUAUUGCUAAAUGCAUUUGUGAGGCGAAAUUUGGACAGCCAGAAUCGCAAGGACUCACAAGAAACUGCGAAUUCACAUGUAAUCGCACAAUAACUAGUUGUCUCUUUAAAGACAGCCACAUAACCAUAUAAGCAGUAGAUUGUGUCCCUCCAGAGGAGGAAAUCCACUCUGUCCAGACCAGUAGACACUUUUGUGGAUUUUGGGAAUUAACCAUGGGUAAGUGCAAUGCAAAAAUACAAACAACUUGUUUGUCCCUGCCCACGACUGCAUGGUGUGAAAUACAGUUUGACUGAAACAUGUAGUGUUUUAUUUUAAAAAGAAGCCAGAUGUUUUAUUUUGUAUCUGUGGCCUUAUCUGUGCUGAAUUUUUGCAGCAUGCUGCAGCAUCCAGAAAGAAAAUAGAACUCUGGUGAUCAGUUAAGAAACCUGCUGUACGGCAGGGGGCCGAAAACAAGCUGGCGGAAUUUGACACAUUAACUUAAAUUAAUACGAUCAGCGCUGACGGCCUUUCCACCGCCGUUCCACAUGUGGUGGAAUUUGGGUGUUAAACUGAGUGUGAUGAACCAAAUAUGCCAGGGAUAAUUAUAGCAGAAGUGUGAUACCAAAAGUUGCAAGAAAUGAGAUUUAGAGGAGACCAGGAAUGGUUGCAACACUUUUUGGUUCAGUGCCCUGUAACUUCCUAGAUUUUUGAGCCUAAAUUGUCAAAUUGUUAUACAAAGUUUCUGCAUUUGUUUAUUAUGAGAAAAAAAAGCUAAUCGAGUUCUUUGCAAAAACAUUAUAAACCUCACGAGCUGAUGUCAAAAACAAACUGGUUAAAACAACCAUUCAUAAUCUCCCUAUUUGUAAGGAAUAACAAAAUCUCUGAAUGCAAAUCAUACAGUCCAUGUGUGUUAUCUUUGAGAGCGCUUAUCCAGCACUAGCAUGCAGCACCUUUCUGUUGAUCAAUGUAUCUUUGCAGCUGUGUGUUUUUGCAGUAAAUGGUUCGUUCUUUUUUCUUUUUUCUGUCAGCUAGCAUGCACAGUUGCAGUAAGAUUCCUGAUAUGAUUGGCUCCAGUGUUACAGUUUUUUUUUUCUCCUGUGAUUUUCUUUUUUUUUUUUUUUUUAUGAUUUCUUUGACAACCAUUCUUUUAUGAUUGGGCCAAUUGACGAGAACAGUCAAGCAUUCUUUCCUGCUCGCCAAGGCAACUAUUCCCCAGAUCAUGUAUUCAUGUGUUCUUCAGAUCAUGAAAAUCACAGUUUUGCAGGGAAAAGUCUGAUAAAACACAAAGCUCCAGGGCCUUGAAGGCAGACAAGAUAAAUAUGGUGAACUCAGGUACCAGUCUUGUAUCUCUAAAGGCUAUCAAACUCCCUCUGUGGCCAAAAUCUCAAUAAAGACACUAAUAUAUAAAAGACAAAUUUUAACAUGAUACAAAUGAGUCUUGUGGUUUUGCAUGUGAAUCUUAUUUGUUCUUUUAACAUGUGGCAGGAGUAUACCCUUGCAGACAAUGUAUAGUGAGCUGAUGGUUAUGCACAUUGGGCUUCAGACAGGGUGAGCCUCACCUGCUUAAAAAGCUUAAUUAUUGGUCUCUCAGAUUUCACAGUCGGGGUAUUCUUAGAAAACUAAUUGUGGGAUGAUUAAACACAAUACAAAGGAGGCAAAAGUCCAAACCUUUAACAUUAUUGGUGUUACUGUUUAUUAGUAACUUAGAGAUAUAUCCUCUAGCUCUGCUGUCCUUGCUUGGAUUGCAGGACAGGAUUUUUCCCCACUUUCCCCAGUCAGAGGUCCAGAAGCUCCUUGUCUGCCCUAACAUCUGAGCUUGCCUACUGUCAUUAUUUUUUGUUAACAUUAGGUUAUGUUUUUGCCACAGUGUCACCAGGCAGAACUUAAUUGUGUCAGACUAUAUAAGGAAUGCAACCAGGUAUUUGUACUAAACUGCCUUCCAUCUCUGCCAUUCAGUGUUAUAGGAGUUUUAUCUCGACAGAACAACUUUGAAUCUAGGUAGCAGAGGAAAAAAGUUCAAAUAGUCUUGAAAAAAACCCUGCCUGUUUUUCUGGUUAGAAUCGGUCUGUCAGUCACUGGUUAUAUAUAGCACUGCUGACCGGUGUGCUGGAUAAUUAAUAGUAGUCUGAUUCAUCCCCGUCCAAAUGUACAUGGUUUACUCUGAAGGGGGAAACAGCCCAGCUCAGCCCAGAAAAUCCCUGGUGAUUUAAAGCUCGCUGGAUCUGAGAGCAGCCUGCAGGUCUGUGUGGACACAGAGGCAGCAGAAGCACAGCCUCACACUGAGCUGAGCCCCUGACCCUUCCUUAUUUCUGUCAGAUACGUGACAUGUGUCUGUCAUUACAUGAAAGAAUGAAAAAAAAUGCUGACUGCUGUUUUCUUUAUCACACUUGCACUGUCCAGAAGCCAGAAUAGGAGAGUAUUGUAAUCUAAAUCAUAAGGAAAGGAGAAAAAGUUACAUGUUGUCUAUCCAUGUCACUCACACAAAUGAUGAAUGAUGCUCUGGAUGGUUAACAGGCUCCCAGGCCUGCACUGUAUGACCUCUGUGGCACUCAGGUUAUCACAUACUUCAUCACACUUUGCUGUUAGAUGCAAAUGCUAAAAGGUGACUUAAAGCUCCUGUGAGAGUAUUCGAGCUGGCCUCUGUUGUGCUCCUCUAAAGUGUACUGAGAUGCAGUGCAGGUGUCAUUGUUAUUUUCUAUGCAAUGCCCCCCCCCCAUCUCUAUGUCCAGAGCUAACAUUCACUACAUACAUGUUUUUUUAAAUAAUCAAUGUGUUGCAUCAUUCUGACUGAAAUUUGACUUUUAAAAUAUAUGUUAACAUGUUAAGCCCUACGGAGAAUUGGGACACCCUUCGCUUUAAGUGAAUGCGCAAAAACCGAGGGCUAAGGGGUAAGACAAGGGCUAAGGGUUACAACUGGGACUGCCUCUAAAUGUGUUGCUAGGAAGCCAGGUAGUAAACAAGAGUAAGACCAUAAAAGGAUGUGAAAAAGACAAAACUGUUGAAUUGUACAAAGAAAAAAAAAAAAGGUAAAUCUUGUUAGCUAGGGUGACCUUUUACCCGGACAUGUCCUCUUUUUGGGGGGCUGUCUGGCCUUGUCCGGCUUUGUCUGGGGGAGUUUAUAAAAUCCUUCAAAUGUCCGGGGUUUUUUAUGGAAGUUUUGAGUUUGUGUUGCAUGGACUAACUGAGUUAGAAGUGUGUAAAAAACACUCAAUUCGACCCAAAAACUCAAAAUGAACUACGCCCAACUCCAUGACUCUGCCCCCGCAUAGUUGUGCCCUCUUUUUGAGGAUUCAGAAUAUGGUCACCCUAUUGUUGGCCACUUGCUAACACGUUUUGUCAUUUGCUUAGACACAGUGAGUUGCCGAUGGAGCUGAGAGUGUCUGCACCUCGUUUGGACAAGCAAAAUCCUGGUCUUAUUCCUAAAGCUCUUAGCACAGUGUUUUCCUGAGAUUUAGAGGGUAGAUUAAGGAUAAAGUUACAGAGGCUCAGGGCAACUUAUGGUUAUCCAGCAUGUCAGAAGACAGGUGAUAUAGUGGGAAGAUGAUUAAGACUGCUCAGGGUGAAGGUCAGGGUUGUAGCUAGCUGAUGCCAGACAAUAAUCUCCAUGUUUUGUUGUCAUCAACAGAAUUAGUCAGCUGCAAAGUCAUCCUGAAUUUUGAAGUUAAAACCAGCUCAUAUCAAGUUCAUACAGAUCCAGAGGAGGCCGAGGAGCAGGUAUGUGUUCGGUAAAAUGUAAAAAUAACUGGGCUUUCUGAUGCCAAAGUAAAUGUCUGAAUAGAGCAGUGAAAGUAGUGCAUUGGUCGGAGUUUAUAAAAUGAGCAAAUAAAUAAGUAAUUUUGUUUCUCUUGUUAGUUUCUCAACAAAGUGGCCAAGUUGACUGGCAUUCCUUUUGCGUGAUACACAUUAUUGACCUCAUACAGUUCACCACACUUUAAAAACCCUGUCUCCAACACUUUAGACAGCAGUGGGCUGCACUCUGCAAGGUACAACUACAGGUUUGUGCCAAUGAAGUCUGGUGGUCCUGAGUGUCUCUGCUGUUCAAAUCAACAGUUACACAAUGAUAAUAUGUUUUAUUUUGAAAAGUACCUCUUUUGGACAGUUUUGCUGAUUUGGGUUUGAGAAUUUGGAAUAAAAAAAUGUAAGACUGGGGCCAAGGUGCAAAACCACCAGAUUUUCCCUUAAGGAGGAGAAUUUAUGGUUGAGUCACAGAGACCUUCCUGUCAAAAUCCCACUUGUCACACUCCGCACUAUUACCCCCAUCAAAAUUGAUUUUCUUUCUGAUAAAAUGUUGAAGUAAUUUAUCACACAUUCAGAAUUCCCACCAUAAAAUCUACUAUUUUGAAAUUAAAACCUGUACAACUCCCUUAAACUGAAUGCGGCGCUAAUAACUCAUAUGGUACCAAUAGCUUAAAGUUUCGGCUCCAACUCCAAUCUGUG